CGCAUCUGUGCAUGCAGCAUAUCAAUAAGCGGAGGAAAAGAAACUAACAAGGAUUCCCCUAGUAACGGCGAGUGAAGCGGGAAGAGCUCGAAUUUGAAAUCUUAAAGGGUUUCCCUUUACGAAUUGUAGUUUAAAGAAGUGUUUUCUGUUGAGGUUUUGGUAAAAGUUCUUUGGAAUAGGACAUCAUAGAGGGUGAGAAUCCCGUAUUUGACCUUUACUUUCAACUUUGUGAUACACUUUCAAAGAGUCGGAUUGUUUGGGAAUGCAGUCCAAAAUGGGUGGUAAAUUUCAUCUAAAGCUAAAUAUUGGCGAGAGACCGAUAGCGAACAAGUACCGUGAGGGAAAGAUGAAAAGAACUUUGAAAAGAGAGUUAAACAGUACGUGAAAUUGUCAAAAGGGAAGCGUUUGACACCAGUGUUGUUUUUCUGAAAAUCAAUUAAAGAACUGUUUAUGCUAAGCUGUUUAGACUUUAUCAGCUAUCUGUUUAGUUUUGAGCUUUUCUUUAAUGCACUUUUCAGUUAACAAGUCAACAUCAAUUUCUUUUGCUGUAAAAAAGCUUGAGGAAGAUGGCUUGAGAUUCGUCUUAAGUGUUUAUAGCCUCUUGCCUAUGCAGUCGGAGAGAUUGAGGUCUGCAGCGUAGAUCCUUCGGGGCUAAAUGCAUUUGUGCUAAGUUAUAGCAUUUUAUAGACAACUUGUUGACUAUGAUUUGUCUUGUAGCUUACUCGCUUAUGUUAUUUUACCUACGCUUAGGAUGUUGACAGCAGUAUAGACUGU
rnacentral:rRNA from 1 species